AUUGAACGCUGGCGGCAUGCCUUACACGUGCAAGUCGAACGGAUUCAAGAGGCUUGCUUCUUGAGUUAGUGGCGAACGGGUGAGUAAAGCAUCGGAACGUACCCAGUUGUGGGGGAUAACGUAGCGAAAGUUACGCUAAUACCGCAUACGCACUGAGGUGGAAAGCGGGGGACCGAAAGGCCUCGCGCAAUUGGAGCGGCCGAUGUCGGAUUAGCUAGUUGGUGAGGUAAAGGCUCACCAAGGCGACGAUCCGUAGCUGGUCUGAGAGGACGACCAGCCACACUGGAACUGAGACACGGUCCAGACUCCUACGGGAGGCAGCAGUGGGGAAUUUUGGACAAUGGGCGAAAGCCUGAUCCAGCCAUGCCGCGUGAGUGAAGAAGGCCUUCGGGUUGUGAAGCUCUUUCAGACGGAAAGAAAUCUUUCGGGUGAAUAUCCCGGAAGGAUGACGGUACCGUAAGAAGAAGCACCGGCUAACUACGUGCCAGCAGCCGCGGUAA
rnacentral:rRNA from 1 species